ensembl:lncRNA
CCUUGUUUCCGAUCGCAUUUUGAGUCGUUUUGGGGGUUAUUUUAAGAGUCGAUAUGUUGACAUCAAGACAACCGUGCGGGAGAUCGGUUUAGUAAUUAAUAGUCGAUGUUAUGAAUUUUACAGUGAUGGAUCGAUUGGCAUUAGGAACAAGUAGAAGCAUCUCACCCCCUGGAUGGAAGAUUCAGUCUCCCGCUUCGGUUCCAGCACCGAAUGACUGAGGUCUGAGGACGGACAUUUUUUGCAGUGUUGCCAUCGACGACUGGAGGGGCUGGGGGGGGGGGGGCUCUGACAGGCACAAUUUACAUUGAGCUCGCCCCGCGCUGCUAUUUACUUUGAAACCUGAUUAGUAUGGGCCGUCUAUUGUCACCAAAAAAGAGGAAGAAACCCUGGACAGAAUAGCAAAAAAGCGGGGUAAAGGAAAGAGUGGACAAAGAUUUUACGCACGACAAAUAUACCCAAAAAAAAAAAAAAAAAAAAAAUGUACACAGCGGCAAAAGGGGGAUUCUGCUUCAGAAAUUCCCCGAAGUUUCAAAAUGGUUUGUCUCGGACUGUUAUCUUCAUUAUAGAAUUAACGGAUGUCAUUAAUGUUUUGCCAUGGAUUGAUAUUUUCACAGGCUGUUUUGUCCUUGGCAUGCGCAUUGCGGUACAUCGUUGCCUGUAAUCGGCACAGUCUCGCUGAUUAAAACUUAACGUUUAGUUUAAACCAGUUAAUAAGAGAAAGAAAAUGUCAGUGGGAAGAAUGAUGCAUAAAAGACAGUGUUAUACAAACGGGAUGCCUUGCCAGCGGCCGAAAAUCUCUAAAAUUAGACCGAGGAAUGAGCAAUAUUCAAUAAUUACCAAGGUCCUAUAGUCUCUACAAUCACUGAGCCGGUGUCAUAUUAUGUCUUAAUAAUGACAGUAAUUCAAAAUGUGAAGUUACUGACAAUUUGCAUGGGGAUUCCGGCUUUUUUCUUGUACCAGGGUUUCUGCAGGCUUACUGCCUCUCCAACUCAAAAAUGUCUGGAUCGCGCUGCCAUCUAGCGUACAUUGUACAAUUACAGCCUCAUAUAAAUGCAUCCAUAACUCAUCAGACAUGCAUUUUAAAUCGCAAAAGCGGAUUUUAAAAAUAUAAAAGUCCGAACUUUGCCGCUGUUGUCUUUUAUCCUUUGUGUGGAUAAAAGACAACAGGAUAUUUUUAUCCACGAGGUUAUGAAAUGUACAACUGUUUUGUUGUUAGGGAUGUAUAACUUAAACAAACAAAAAACAAAACACAACAAAAAAACCCACCAAACCUUCAGCGAACAUAAAAAAUACGUGUUAUUACAUCUGAAUAAAUAUAGCGACAAUAAUACACUACACUCUUGAUCGCACGGAAUAUAGAUUGAACACAAACCCCCAAACCGUGUGCGUACAUGUCCAAAAACAUGGUAAUACCGUGCUGAGACUCAGUAACUAUGCACAAUACGUAUAAUUGUUGUUUAAUGAAUUAAAGACGUUGUAAACAGAGCUUUAACCUCACCGAGAUAAUAGCAGACAUAAAGGAGCGUUAAUAUGCAAGUGCCCCCUUUGUAAACGCAUAGGAGGGAUGGGUUGUUUUUUAAGUAUUCAACAAGAGAGCUCUCUCUCCCGUCCCUGUCUCGGACACUCCACUGAAACUCCCCGGCCAUAUCUCUAGCUCUUUGAAAAGGUGAAACCAAUAAGAUUAAAUCGGACAAAGAUUUUUUUUUCUUCUUCUGUAAGUGUAUCAUUAAGAUUUAACUCUACAGAUUGGAAAGGGUCUCCGCGGGAGAAGAGGAGAGGAGAGUGAGAGUGAGAGGGACAGCGAAUGGGAGCAGGGUAGACGCUCUAAUAGAAUCUGGGAAUCGGCAAGAGUAAAAAGGAGAAAGUGGACGUCAGGACAUUAAAAGAAGAAGCGCCAGCGACGGUGGUUAACGGUAGCGGAGCAGCUUUCUACGUGGGCAAACCGGGCACCGAUAAGGCAAAGAGGAACACGGUGGCCUGCUGCCUGGACACACAGUGGGACAUGUUGGUGUGGUGAAGGGCUGACACUCGGAUGAGAUGUAAUUUAUGGCAAGUGUUGUGUGGUCAUAGGACAGUGACAGUGACGCGUCUGCUUAGAAGCACGAGAAUUGCGACCACGAAGAGCGGUAAAUAUAACAUAAAAGGUGAAUUAAUCAUUACUUUGAUUUUAAGGAGCUGCUCUCUUCGAAAUCCAUUGCCCAGUCCUGAUUUGUUCUGUUUCAUUAUGUACAGGAGUGUGUGUUUAUCGAGUACACUCCAAGCUUUUCUACUCAGAAAUGAAUCCAAGCAUCCUGGAACUCAAAUUCUUCUUCAGUGCUUUGUUUUGGAAAAAGUCUUUGGUAUGCUUUUGGGAAACUGGCAGCUAAUCUUUUCAUAGCUAGGGGUCAACAUAACACUCGGUUUUAAUAAAACAAAUAAGACUGGGAUGGAUAUUAAUGAUGAUAUAUACAGAUGUAGUGUGCAUGAGCUUGAAUUAUGUGUGAGAGCAUGCAGAAGGAGAGACACUCUCACACAUUUGUGUGUUUACUUGCCUGUGUGUGUGUGUGUGUGCGGCCGUGAGAUAGCCGAGUCAGUUUCCCUCAGAUGUUGCCUUUAACCUUUAACCCCAGAGCUGAGGUCAAGCCCUGACAAAUGAGAUGGUCGAGUUCUGGCCAGAUCUGCAAACAUUCCACAACAAUCUUCUGUCCUCCUCCUCUCCUCUCCUCAUAUCCGUCAUUCCUCACCCCUUCACUCCUCUCAGUGUGUCUCUUCUACGGCUUCGAGAGCGAGUCAAAGAAUGUUCUCACUGCACACAAACAUGUUUUAUUGUAUUUGCUGUGGGAAUCUUAAAGCACACACACCCUUCAAAUUAAGAAUUACAGCACUGGUUAAAUUUAAUACCUCUGACAUCUGCCGUGUUUACAGAAGGAAGGAAAACAAAAGAGUAUGAUCUGAGAGGAGAAGCUGCGGUAAAGAUUUGGAUAUUACAACCGUGCACUUUGAAAGCACACUGUGUGUGUUUGGAAAGUCUGUCAGUGAUGUCAAGGAUGAGAAAUGUUGCAGUGUGGUUUUUUACACACGCUGCUGGCUCUAGCAUUUCCGGCAACAUUUCUCACACUGCCUCCCUCACACCAUCCGCUCUGCUGCAAUAUCCCCACAUUUUUCCAUCCUUUCGAUUUUUUCCCCUCCACUCCUUGUUUUCCAUCCCUUUACUCCCUUUACCCUUCCUCUUUGCUGCCCCACCCACUCCUAAUCUCAACCUCUCCCUUCCUUCUUCCUUCACCCUCCACAUUCACCCCCCUCCUUUUAUUCCUCCGCCCACAAUAUUUUUUCAGAUUUCUUUCUAACAUGCCGUUCCUCAGAAUGCUACCACCUGUGUCUUGAGGAAGAAAGGAGCCAACCACCCGCAUUCCUUUUACCAGGAGCUGGUAAAGGUAAGUGGAGCCCCCUGUUAAAAUAAGGCAGCAAAUAAAGGUUUUGUUGUAGUGUUUCUGCAUAAACUGUCAUUUUUUUAACGCAAUGAACCUCACCACCCUUCAUCAGCUACAAAAGUCACUGUUAUAUGAACACACACAGUCACCAUCGAUGACUGUGCAGCCACAAUUGUUGCAAAGGAGCCUCGAGACCAACAAAGCUGGCUGAGACGGUAGCGCCGAAUGGAUCACGCUCUUGAAUUUGAUUUCAUAAUGAUGUAAGAUUACUAAGAGGCAAUGCAACACAGCAAAGAUCUUAAUAAAAAACACAUCAAUCUUGA